AUGUAUGCUGAAUAUCCCCUCAGUGGACAAGAUUGGAUUUUAGUGUAUACAAGCCCUCCUCUCAGCUGCUCAGGCAUAAACACCUUACUGCAAAUGUUCUUCGUAUCUCGCCUCCUCGUCGUGAUGGGUGGCUCCUAUAGCUUCGCCAUGCCAACCAUCUCCACGAGAACAUGGCAGGUUGUUGUGCUUCUGGAUGAGAGGGAUAGCCAUGAGGCAAGGAGCAGCAAGGUCUCAUUUUCUUCCCCAGUUUUUACUCCUCGAUUUAUGGUUUUUCUAAACACAUGUGUGCAGAUAAUGUUCUUUAGUUUCUGGAUUUGGUGCAGGUAUGUUCCUCAUCCUCUCCCAGUCCUUGUUCCAAUCCUCGCCCUCAUGUAA
rnacentral:rRNA from 1 species